GGGCAGUAAAAAAAGAAAUGAGUGAAGAGUCCCUGGUCACAUUAUUUGGGGAUUUGGCAACAGCAGACCAAAGAGAAUAAGACCCUCAUGACAUCAUAAUGUGUAUCCAGAGAUAAUUUCACCGUUUCAUGUUCCUGAUGUCACAGCUGCUAAUAGCUUCAGUUGUUAGGAGGGACGCAGACACCAUGAAUGAAAAAUGUCCAGAGAGGAAGGGUGUAGCCUGACACCAGUGGCUAAAGUGGAAAGCGCGGCAGAAGUCAGAUCCCAAGCAAACCUGGGAGCAGAAAAUGGGAGAAAGGAGCAGAGGAAUAUGCGCGGGUUAGAUGAACUCUUGGCAGAACCGGCGGUGUUCCGCUAAUCUGAACAACCUUCACCAAAGGGCCAUCCGAGUCCACCAGUGCCAGCCCCGGCUCCCCUGAGACCUACUGGAGAGAAAUUUCUACAGGCAGAAAAUCUAAGCGAUGAGGCUCUUCUCCGCUC
rnacentral:lncRNA from 1 species